ACGUAUUUGAAUUAUUAUGCGUCUAUAUAAUUUAGUCUUUCCUAUAAUUGCAAACAUCUGCAAAUGUUUUACACGAUACAUUAGUUCAUAAAAUAAAGGAAAUUUAUCUGGAUUUGAAGACAAUAAAUCCUUAAUAUGUCCUAAAUAUUCUCCAGCUAGCCUUUCGAUUAUUUCAGUAAAAUUUUUGCUCUUCUCAAAAUCAUCAAAGGAUUCCAUCGACAGAGAAAAGAUGUCUUUGGAUUUGAAGAUUUUGAUGUGAUCAUAUAUACAUUUAAUAGGAUUAGUUUUUUAUUUGGUCUUCUCUCGUGACGUCAAAGAAUUUAAUUUGCUAUUCACAGUAUCAUCACUCUAUGUAUGUAUUUUAUAUCUAUAGUAUUAUCACGAAUAGAAGGUAAGUUACAACUAAUUUCACCUUCAUUUUUUUCUUUUAAAGCUGUUUUGUCUCAUAGAUAAUGGUACAAAAACAUUUUGAUACCAAAAUCAUGUCUCUAGCAUCAAUAUUAAGGAAGUUAUGAUCAAUUUAUUAUCGGAAUUUCCUCCCUUUUUUUUCUACUGUUUAUGUUAUAACCUACACCAAAAUCUGGGAUCUAAUAUAAUAUUUCCCCAAAACAUCAUAACUUUUUUAAUCUUCAAGAGAAUUGAAUGAAAUUUUCAGAAAUUACAAAAUACAGUAUUUUGCAAAAGACUUAUAAAUGCAUGCAAUUGAAAAAAAAAAAAAUAAUAAUAUGACAAAAUAC
rnacentral:lncRNA from 1 species